rnacentral:rRNA from 1 species
GCUUAGCCCUAAACAUAAAUAGUUUAGUAUAACAAAACUAUUCGCCAGAGAACUACUAGCAAUAGCCUAAAACUCAAAGGACUUGGCGGUGCUUUACACCCCUCUAGAGGAGCCUGUUCUAUAAUCGACAAACCCCGAUAAACCUUACCACUUCUAGCUACUUCAGUCUAUAUACCGCCAUCUUCAGCAAACCCUCAAAAGGAAGCAAAGUAAGCAUAAUAAUCCCUGCAUAAAAAAGUUAGGUCAAGGUGUAACCCAUGAAGUGGAAAGAAAUGGGCUACAUUUUCUAAACAAGAACAUUAUACGAAAGUUUUUAUGAAAUUAAAACCUAAAGGUGGAUUUAGUAGUAAAUUAAGAAUAGAGAGCUUAAUUGAAUUGGGCUAUAAAGCACGC